GGCAAAAUAUUAGCAGGAAUUCCUAAGGUGUCAAGUGUGGAUUUAUCCCAGUCAAGGGUUUUAAGAUUCAUCAGCAUAGUUCUCGAUGCAUUGGAGACAUCAGUGACAUGUAAACCAUUCUCCACGCCUCCUGUUAGGUUCCAAAUUAACCAGGUGUCUAUAGUUCCAAACACAGCAUCCCCCUUUUUAACAGCUUCACUCAACCCAUCCACAUUAUCCAACAGCCAGUUCUCCACACCUCCUGUUAGGUUCCAAAUUAACCAGGUGUCUAUAGUUCCAAACACAGCAUCCCCUUUUUUAACAGCUUCACUCAACCCAUCCACAUUAUCCAACAGCCACAAAAGCUUCAACGCACUGAAAUAAGUGCUUAUAGGCAAACCACAACUCUCAACAAAAUGAGUCCGUCCCCCUGGC
rnacentral:lncRNA from 1 species